GAUGAACGCUGGCGGCGUGCCUAAUACAUGCAAGUCGAGCGAACGGACGAGAAGCUUGCUUCUCUGAUGUUAGCGGCGGACGGGUGAGUAACACGUGGAUAACCUACCUAUAAGACUGGGAUAACUUCGGGAAACCGGAGCUAAUACCGGAUAAUAUUUUGAACCGCAUGGUUCAAAAGUGAAAGACGGUCUUGCUGUCACUUAUAGAUGGAUCCGCGCUGCAUUAGCUAGUUGGUAAGGUAACGGCUUACCAAGGCAACGAUGCAUAGCCGACCUGAGAGGGUGAUCGGCCACACUGGAACUGAGACACGGUCCAGACUCCUACGGGAGGCAGCAGUAGGGAAUCUUCCGCAAUGGUCGAAAGCCUGACGGAGCAACGCCGCGUGAGUGAUGAAGGUCUUCGGAUCGUAAAACUCUGUUAUUAGGGAAGAACAUAUGUGUAAGUAACUGUGCACAUCUUGACGGUACCUAAUCAGAAAGCCACGGCUAACUACGUG
rnacentral:rRNA from 1 species